rnacentral:miRNA from 1 species
CAUAGGGACAAUGAGACAUUGGGACACUGGGAGACCUGGGAACACUGAGACACUAGGGGACACUGGGAGACAUGGGGACACAGACACAUGGGAACACACAUGUCUCUCAGUGUCCCUAGUGUCUCAGUGUUCCCAUGUUUCCCAGUGUCCCUAGUGUCUGUGUGCCCAUAUCU